CAGGCACACCUGGGGCAACAACUUCUGCAUCCACCUCUGGAGGAGCAGGGAGCAGCACCGCUCUACCUGCAAGUACUGGAGCCCCAGCAUCAGAGAGCACAGUGACAUCCUCAGGACACACUACUGUCCCUCGGGCCUCCAGUCAAUCCACAGCUACUGCCAACAGCCAAGCAGCAGUGACUGUAUCAUCAGCAGGAACAACUGGAUCCCCCAGCAGUGAGCAGACCCCAUCUGAAGUCAGUGCAGGAACUACUACACCAUCAGCUGUGGAAACAUCUGUAGCCCCAAGCAAUGAAUCAACCCAGCCUUCAGACAAGUCCAGCACAACAGAACAGUCUGUGGGAGUUACCACAAGACCAGACAGGGAAGCCACACCUGUCACCCAAGGCACAGAAGUCACCACUGGAAGCCCAGCAGGCA